CACGUAGUUAGCCGGGGCUUCUUAGUCAGGUACCGUCCAAAGUCCGAAGGACUUUAUUUCUUCCCUGCUGAUAGAGCUUUACAUACCGAAAUACUUCUUCACUCACGCGGCGUCGCUGCAUCAGGGUUUCCCCCAUUGUGCAAUAUUCCCCACUGCUGCCUCCCGUAGGAGUUUGGGCCGUGUCUCAGUCCCAAUGUGGCCGUUCACCCUCUCAGGCCGGCUACUGAUCGUUGCCUUGGUGGGCCUUUACCCCGCCAACAAGCUAAUCAGACGCGGAUCCAUCGUAUACCACCAAAAGCUUUAGCUUUUUGUUUCCACACUGCUUUCAUGCGAAGCUAUGCGCUUAUGCGGUAUUAGCACCUAUUUCUAAGUGUUAUUCCCCAGUAUACGGCAGGUUCUCCACGCGUUACUCACCCGUCCGCCACUAACUCAUACAUCACUAGGUUUCAAUAUGAGUCCGUUCGACUUGCAUGUGUUAAGCACGCCGCCACGCGUUCAUCCUGAGCC
rnacentral:rRNA from 1 species